rnacentral:lncRNA from 1 species
CUCUUCUAACCCCAAUUCAAUUUCUUCCAAAUCCCUAAAAACUAUUUCCACUUUCUCCUCCCUCUUUCCAUCUUCUAUCGUCUUACUCUCUCUACCAUCCCCCAUCACUUGCGACGUUGUUGUCCCUCUCUAAUUCGAAAAUGAUGCUCUCCUCCCUCGUUGACUAUGUAGACUCGCAUUAUCGUUGUGAGACAGCACAAAGUAGCCUCGCACCCCCGCUCAUCUUUGCCAGCAAUGCCGCCCUCUUCCCUCGAAGUGGCAUCACGGCUGUGCGCAGAUCACCCGUCAUUUAUCGACGACGUAAGGGCCACAGCUCAAAAACUAAUGCAGAAGGGACGCGCCGUUCUAUAGCUAUGGUUUGUGAUUUUAUCAAUCUGUGGAUGAGCAACCGUCAUGGUCUAUGAUUUGUUCUUUGUGGUUUAUUUUGAUUGCUCGCAUGAAUGAUUUUGAGAUGAUUUUUGCGGUGGUUUUUGGGUGUGCAGGAUAGCGAUCAUGCCAAAUUAGGUUGGUUUUUGUUAGUUGUUGGAGUGGUUGCGGUGAUUUCCAUGGUUUGGUAAUGUUGGGGUGGUUUUAUUGACAAUGCUGUUGGUAGACCCAAUGCUACUA